UACGAAGGUGGCAAGCGUUACUCGGAAUUACUAGGCGUAAAGGGCAGGUAGGUGGUUUGGUUAGUCUGUUGUGAAAGCUCCUUGCUUAACGGGGAGAGGUCAACAGAUACUGCCAGACUUGAGUAUGGGAGAGGGUACUGGAAUUCCCGGUGUAGCGGUGAAAUGCGCAGAGAUCGGGAAGAACGCCGGCGGCGAAAGCGACUCUCUGGUCGGAUCCUGGCGCUGAGGCACGAAAGCUAGGGGAGCAAACAGG
rnacentral:rRNA from 1 species